rnacentral:rRNA from 1 species
GAUGAACGCUAGCUACAGGCUUAACACAUGCAAGUCGAGGGGAAACGAUGAGAGAGCUUGCUCUCUUAGGCGUCGACCGGCGCACGGGUGAGUAACGCGUAUCCAACCUACCCAUUACAGGGGGAUAACCUUGCGAAAGUAAGACUAAUACCCCAUGGCAUUUUAUGGUGGCAUCAUUAUAGGAUUAAAGAUUUAUUGGUAAUGGAUGGGGAUGCGUCUGAUUAGCUUGUUGGCGGGGUAACGGCCCACCAAGGCAACGAUCAGUAGGGGUUCUGAGAGGAAGGUCCCCCACAUUGGAACUGAGACACGGUCCACACUCCUACGGGAGGCAGCAGUGAGGAAUAUUGGUCAAUGGGCGAGAGCUUGAACCAGCCAAGUAGCGUGCAGGAUGACGGCCCUAUGGGUUGUAAACUGCUUUUAUAGGGGAAUAAAGUGAGCUACGUGUAGUUUAUUGCAUGUACCCUAUGAAUAAGGACCGGCUAAUUCCGUG